rnacentral:rRNA from 1 species
GACGAACGCUGGCGGCGUGCUUAACACAUGCAAGUCGAACGGUGAAGGGGUCUGCUUUUGUGGGCCCUGGAUGAGUGGCGAACGGGUGAGUAACACGUGAGUAACCUGCCCCCUUCUUCUGGAUAACCGCAUGCAAGUGUGGCUCAUACGGGAUAUUCUGGGUCUGUCGCAUGAUGGGUCUGGGAAAGAUUGCGCCUUUGGGUGUUUUUGGUGGGGGAUGGGCUCGCGGCCUAUCAGCUUGUUGGUGGGGUGAUGGCCUACCAAGGCGGGGACGGGUAGCCGGGAUGAGAGGGUGGACGGUUAGACUGGGACUGCGGCACGGCCCAGUCUCCUACGGGGGGGAGCAGUGGGGAAUAUUGCACAAUGGGCGCAAGCCUGAUGCAGCGACGCCGCUGGAGGGAUGGAGGCCUUCGGGUUGUAAACCUCUUUCGGCAGUGAAGCAGGCCUGCUCCUUGUGGGUGUGUUGACGGUAGCUGGAGAAGAAGCGCCGGCUAACUACGUG